CGGUCUACCCAGCAAGGCUGAGAUUUCAAUAUAGUACAACAGUAACAUUUUUCCCAUCCCGUAGGAAAAUUACAAUGAAAUUUAAAGCAAAAAUCAACGACGAUCUUUUCGCUUGUAAUAUUUGAUUUCGAUUCCACCUUUCUAUCAAGAAUGUUUGAUGUGCCUGAAUCACAACAAUAAAAUAAGAAAGUCAGUAUAAUGAAAUUAAUGUGUUUUUGUGUGCAUGUGAGAAAGAGAAAGAGAAACAGAGAAAGGAGCAUACAAUGACAAAGGGAGGCAAAAGAAGCCAUGAGAAUGAGGAAGAGAACUAGAAACCUACAACUAACGAAGGCCAUUUGAAAGGUAAUGAAAGGUUCCAGUGGAAUGAUUAAAUUGAGAAAUAAGAGGGUAUUUAUAAGUAGAUGCUAUGAAAUAUGAUAACAGAAUUUUCAAUAGGCUUUUAUUUAAAAUUUAUUACCUGAAAAUUUUGGUUUGAUGCAUUAAAUUUGCAAUAGCAGUUAUUUAUUUUUGUAUAUACGCAAAAGGAAAAAAGUAAAUAUCAAAGUUUAUAUAAAAAUGAGUUAGUGUAAUAUAAUAUGAAAACAUAAAUAUAACAAACAUAUAAUAGUUGACUUACUGUGAGCUCUUAAUGAAUAUUUUCUAAAAUUAAUUUUUUUUAAUAGUCUUUUUUUAUAGAAUAAUAAUAUAUCUUAGUUAUCAUCGUACAAAGAGCGAGAUGACAAACGAGCAACAAGCUACACUACUAAGCAUUUUUGUAUGGUAAAAAACCAAAUUCUUUUGAAAACUACAUCCAUAGAUCUUGGGGAUAUAAAAUUGUUACGCAUUAUCUAUUGUACUUUAUUAAGAAGCUCCACCACAUCCGGUGUGAGAGAACCAAAUGUAUCAAAUGCAAAUUGUAUGAACAAGUGUUGAUUUUCCAUGUACAAGUUCUCAUAUUUGAUGACCUUGCCUGUAGUAGCAUUUAAUGCAGCUUGUCCGUCGUGAAACCCCGAACCCUCAAACCCACGAGUGGGGAUAUCCCUAUAUGGUCCACACAAGCGUGUUUCUAUCCAACCCAUCCAAAAAUGAAAACGCCAGCUGUCUAAGGGUUGACCAUCCUGUAACGUCCUCAGAUCCGGGCUACUUAAUUUAGAGGCAAUAAGUGUCGUAAACGACUUUUCAGCAAAAGAUUAUUUAGAAUAAAUAAUCUUAACCAAGUUUUAGUAUAUGUUACAAGGUUUCCGUACAUAUAAAGAAUGCCAAAAUCCGAGUUAUAACGAAGAAGUUAUGACCCGUCGAAGUUUUUUGGCAAAACUCGCGCGACACCGGGAGACGUAAAUAGUGAAUUUACGUUAGAGGACUUUUUAGCCUUGGUGAUCUAAACCAAAGUUGUAGAUUAUGAUAAACUGAGAAAAUCCAUAAAAAGAACGCGAGGAAGUUAUGAUUUUUCGAAGUUUCGGCUUAGCAGUGCACGACCCGAAACUCGAAUGUUAGUUUGAGCGGUUUUUGGCUUACGCGACCUAAAUGAGAGUUGAAGAUCUCAUUAAUAGGAACUCAACGGUAAAAAGAUGGACGAAAACAGAGUCCAUACGAAGGAGUUACGAAUUCUUCGUGGUCAUUUAACAGUCUAAACGCCUCCUACUGUUAAAUUUGAGAUCGGUCGAGAAUUAGCCGACGGAGUCUAAAUGAAAGUUGUAGAUCUUGAUUUUACCUACGCGUGGAUAUAAAGAACGUCGAAAACGGAGCUCGUAUGCGAGAGUUAUGAUUUUUCUAAGUUCGAAGGCUGACACGCGAUAGGGGGUGACGUGGCACCACCAGAAUUGGACACGUGGCACCACCAGAAGGCCACCACAUGCACCAACUUGGCGAGUAGGUCCCCCUACUUGGCGAGUCCAUCAGUCAGCACCCCUAUAAAUAGAGGUGUCGGGUCUUGCCAUUUCAUCACACCUCCCAAACUCACUUUCUCUCUCUAGCCUCCUAAACCCCCCCUAAAGCCUAGGUAAACACCCUAGCACCCGAAGGAAGCCCCGAGGAUCCUGGAGUCUUGAGAAAAGAGCCUUUCGGCUUGGGAACGCUACUCCAGUGAAACACAGUUUUCGAGAAAACCCGCUGUAAGUGAGCUAUGCCUACCCUAUCUUUAGUAUAGCUUAUGUUUUAAUAUAGUAACGUUAUUAGGAACUUAUAAUAAGUAUUUGGGCUAUUAUUAUGAGUGUUAUUGAGUGUUAUUUAAUGCUUAUAUAAUAAUAAUAAUAAUAAUAAUAAUAAUAAUAGCUAGACUAUUAAUUUGUCGCUGUUAUCGUUAGACUAAACCCUAGUGGUAUUGGUAUUAGGUUUUAUCGAAGGAAAAUUGUUUUGAGAGUAUCAAAGUGUUGUCCGAGUGCUGAGUGACUAUCUUUCAGGUGAGUGCAUAGUCCCUUUCAUCUUACAUAUAGAUACGAAGUAUUUUAAUAUAAAUUAUAUGUUAUGUGUGCAUAUUGUCUGAAUACUUACUGUCUAUGUUGGGUGAAAUAUUUUUACACACGUUUUAAAUGAUUUAAACUGUAUAUGUAUUUUAUAUCUACGAAAAUGUUGGGAUAAGACAUGGGUAGAUAUAAUAGAUGGAAUAUGAGUUGGUCCAUGAGUUGCGAGGUGUUAUAGACCACGAGUUGAGGGUGAGAGGUGAACGAUAUGAGAAGCCUUUUCCCAAACGAUGGCCCCGUCAUUCAGUAGAGUAUGGAUGACAACCACAGACUAUUCUAGACAGUUCAGUGGAACACUAGUAGGCUCGCAACCUGUAAGUGUUGUGAACGAUAUGUUCACUCGGUGUACUCUAAACCUUGGUGAUCAUGCAGACUUGAUGCCUAAGCCUUGGUGAUCAUGUAGACUUGUAGUUAAAACCCUGGCAACUAUGCAGACUUAGUGCCUGAUGUAUAUAUUCUGGCGACUAUGCAGACUUAGUGUCUAAACCCCGGUGACGAUGGACUUCGUGCCGAUUCCUUAGGAUGAUCCUUAGGAAUGUAUGAACGAGGAAUGGUUGAUUCUUAGGGUAGAUCCUUAAGAGUAAAGAAGAUAAUGGGGAUGGUUAAUUGGGUUAAUUGCUUGAUUGUUUAAACGUAAUAAUUAUAUUAUUAUGGGUUGAAAACCCUAUGUACUCACCAGGUUUCCCAACUUGACCCACUCAGUUUAUUUAUAUCACAUGUGUUGAUAUGAAGUCACAUUACACUGAGAGAUUAAAGAGAUGUAGAUCACUAGUGUAAAUAAAUGUAAGUUCUGUUUAUGCUUAUGUUUCUGUAUUGACAAUGACAUCCCAAACGUUUUAAAAUCAAUGACAUACGUUUCUUCGAAAAUGUUUUGAUAACAUAUUUAUCGUGUUUUUCUGGGAACGAAUUCCUCAACAUUUUUAUGAAAAGAAUUACUCUGAUUUUUACAAAGCAUAAACAAAAUCGGUCUUUUCUGGCCGUGAAAAAUGGGGAUAUCAUACUUGGUAUCAGAGCAUUAGUUUAAGCGAACUAGGAAUAUGGAUUUAUUUCUAGACUUAAACUUAGAAUGCUAAGCAAUGAUUGUGAGAUGAGUGUCUGCUAUAUUUUAGACACAAGCACUAGUUUAUUUUAGGAAAGAUGCCUAAAAUGUUUUAUGUGCUAAAUGUUUUAUAUUAUAGCUAUAAAGAUGCCUUAUAUUCUAUUAUUUGUUCGGAUCCAUGGUCUAUUGCCGACCGGAUCUAGAAAUUUUAUGUGUUCAGAUUUCUAAACGUUUGAUUACGGUAUUAGAACUGGCAUAUAACUUUUUAGUGUGACAAGGAGAUCUAUACGUCUAUCAUAAAUAAAAUCUUUCCUAUCUUAAAAUUCUCGCCUCGGUACACCGAAUGUCUGCUUGGGUGUACAAAACGUCAUGGUGAAGACAGACUAGGAAAUAUUCGAGGAAGAUGACAACUUGAGCCUAAGAAUGUGAUGGGUCAUGCAUCGGUCGUUGCGCCUGCACCCGAACCUAUCAUAAUGGCAGAAGUUCAGGAAGUGAUGCGAACCAUGAUAAACUGAGAAAAUAGAGGAAAUAAGAUGGCUUACGAUACUGAAUGAUACCUAUCGGAAGAUAUCAUAAGGGAGGUGUCUUGCCUUUAGAAUACGUCUGAUAAAAGAGUAGUACGUCUAUAGAAUUAGGCUACAUUUGAAUGUACACAUUUGAUUGGCGGGAUGAUAGAAUGAUUGGUGUAAUUCCUAAAGUUUUCCUAUCAUCUGGAAUGUCCGUCACCAACCGAGUUGAAGCAGAAUUGAUGAUUCAAGAUAUGCAUGGAAGAAGUCCUAGUAGAGUCUAGGGAAAUUUUUAUGAUUAUUUGGACACACUCGUAUCUGUUAAAUUGUUUUGUGAUUUUAGGACUUGGGGACUGCGAGACAAUACUUGGGACGAGUAUGAGUAGGUGUGAAAGGUAGUAGAUGCAUAUACUACCAGAAGCAUAGGACUUACGCUUGGAUCAUGGAAAGUCACAAGGUUACCAAGAAGCCAAUAAUUGAUUCCGUUUUAUUCGAGCAUGUCGUUACCAUCGUUUCGGUAAUGACUAAGAAGAUUGUUGUUAUUCCGACCCUAGUGGUCAUAUCAACUUGAGUCCAACUACGAUGAGUAUGUUAUGUGGUUCAGAGAACCAAGUUCGAUGUAACAUCGGACUUAAGCUAUAGGAUUGAAGUAAAAGAUAAUCAAACUGAUCGGUAGAGGUAUCGUGAUGGUUUCUUGUAGCUAGAAAUUCUACCUUUUAAGAUGUGAUUAGAACAUGAAGGAAGGCAUAUUCCAUUCUGGAAUUUAACUCUAAGAGACCUGAGUCUAAGCAUUGAUAGUUCAUUAGAAUAUGACACAUCGGUCGAUUCUAGUAAUCAAAUUAACUUAUCCUAAGUUUGUUAAGAAGAAGAAGGAGUCUAUGAUAAAGAAUGAGGUUGUGACACGAAGGUCAUGAUUGAAAGUCUAACGAGCAGGUGCAAUACCGAGCACCACCUACAAUCAAGGAGUCCAAGGGUUAGAUACCCGUUCGAAGCAACAUAGAAGUUACAGUUAUUACCUAGGAUGAAGAGAUAAGUAUGGAGUCAUUAUAUUGCCCUGUUUCGUUGAUGAUUUCGUGACGUAAUCAUCCUAAGGGGGAGAUAAUUAUAACGCCCGUAGAUCCAGGCUAGUCAAUUUAGAGGCAAUAAUUGUCGAAAAUGACUUUUCGGAAAAAUAUUAUUUAGAAUAAAUACUCUUAACCAAGUUGUAGUAUAUGUUACAAAGUUUCCGUACAUAUAAAGAACACCAAAAUCCGAGUUAUAACGAAAAAGUUAUGACCUGUCGAAGUUUUUCGGCAAAACCGGCACGACACCGAGAGACGUAAAUAGUGAAUUUAUGUUAGAGGACUUUUUAGCCUUGGUGAUCUAAACCAAAGUUGUAGAGUAUGUUAAACCGAAAAAAUCCAUAAAAAGAACGCCCAAAUCUGACUUCGUAUGAGAAAGUUAUCAUUUUUCGAAGUUUCGGCUUAGCAGUGCACGACCCGAAACUCGAAUUUUAGUUCGAGCGGUUUUUGGCUUACAUGACCUAAAUGAGAGUUGAAGAUCUCAUUAAUAGGAACUCAACAGUAAAAAGAUAGACGAAAACGGAUUCCGUAUGAAGGAGUUACGAAUUCUUCGCGGUCAUUUAACAGUCUAAAUGCCUCCUACUGUUAAAUUUGAGAUCGGCCGAGAAUUACCUGACGGAGUCUAAAUGAAAGUUAUAUAUCUUGAUUUUGCCUACACGUUGAAAAAAAGAACGUCGAAAACGGAGCUCGUAUGCGAAAGUUAUGAUUUUUCUAUGUUUGAAGGCUGAUACGCGAUAGGGGGUGACGUGGCACCACCAGAAUUGGACACGUGGCACCACCAGAAGGCCACCACAUGCACCAACUCGGCGAGUAGGUCCCCCUACUCGACGAGUCCAUCAAUCAGCACCCCUGUAAAUAGAGGUGUCGGGUCUUGCCAUUUCUUCACACCUCCCAAACUCACUUUCUCUCUCUAGUUUCUCUCUCUAGCCUCCCAAACCCCACCUAAAGCCUAGGUAAACCCCGUAGCACCCGAAGGAAGCCCCGAGGCUCCCGGAGUCCUGAGAAAAGAGCCUUUCGGCUUGGGAACGCUGCUCCACCGAAGCCCGGUUUUCGAGAAAACCCGCUGUAAAUGAGCUAUGCCUACCCUAUCUUUAGUAUAGCUUAUGUUUUAAUAUAAUAACGUUAUUAGAAACUUAUAAUAAGUAUUUGCGCUAUUAUUAUGAGUUAUAUUGAGUGUUAUUUAACACUUAUAUAAUAAUAAUAAUAAUAAUAAUAAUAAUAAUAAUAAUAAUAAUAAUAAUAAUAAUAAUAAUAAUAGCUAGACUAUUAAUUUGUCGCGGUUAUCGUUAGACUAAACCCUACUAGGUAUUGGUAUUAGGUUUUAUCGAAGGAAAAUAGUUUUGAGAGUAUCAAAGCGCUGUCCGAGUGCUGAGUCACCACCUUUCAGGUGAGUGCAUAGUCCCUUUCAUCUUACACAUAGAUACGAAGUAUUUUAAUAUAAAUUAUAUGCUAUGUGUGCAUAUUGUCUGAAUAGUUGCUGUCUAUGUUGGGUGAAAUAUUUUUACAUACGUUUUAAAUGAUUUAAACUGUAUAUGUAUUUUAUAUCUACGAGAAUGUUGGGAUAAGACAUGGGUAGAUAUAAUAGAUGGAAUAUGAGUUGGACGAUGAGUUGAGAGGUGUUAUAGACCACGAGGUGAGGGUGAGAGGUGAACGAUGUGAGAAGCCAUUUCCCGAACGAUGGCACCGUCAUUCAGCAGAGUAUGGAUGACAACCACAGACUAUUCUAGACAAUCCAGUGGAACACUAGCAGGCUCGCAACCUGUAAGUGUUGUGAACGAUGUGUUCACUCAGUGUACUAUAAACCUUGUUGAUCAUUUAAACUUGAUGCCUAAACCCUGGUGAUCAUGCAGACUUGGUGCCAAAACCCUGAUGACUAUGCAGACUUAGUGCCUGCUGUAUAUAUUUUGGCGACUAUGCAGACUUAGUGUCUAAACCCCGGUGACAAUGGACUUCGUGCCGAUUCCUUAGGAUGAUCCUUAGGAAUGUAUGAACGAGGAAAGGUUGAUUCUUACGGUAGAUCCUUAAGCGCAAACAAAAUAAUGGGGAUGCGUAAUUGGGUUAAUUGUUUGAUUGUUUAAACAUAAUAAUUAUAUUGUUGUGGGUUGAAAACCCUAUGUACUCACCAGGUUUCCCAACCUGACCCACUCAGUUUAUUUAUAUGACCCACUCAGUUUAUUUAUAUCACAGGUGUUGAUAUGAAGUCACAUUAUACUGAGAGAUUAAAGAGAUGUAGAUCAUUAGUGUAAAUAAAUGUAAGUUCCGUUUAUGCUUAUGUUUCUGUAUUGACAAUGAGAUCCCAAACGUUUUAAAAUGAAUGAAAUAUGUUUCUUCGAAAAUGUUUUGAUAACAUAUUUAUCGUGUUUUUCUGGGAAAAAAUUCCGCAACAUUUUUAUGAAAAGAAGUACUUUGAUUUUUACAAAGCAUAAACAAAAUCGCUCUUUUCUGGCCGUGAAAAAUGGGGAUGUCACACUUCCCCAUCCAAACACGAGCAGAAAUACUCGUACUCAUGUGAAACACAACGCGACAGCCAAUAUCUUUCUUCUUCCGAUUGCUCGCUUCCACAGUUACCAUCGAUGGCCUUUGUCUUCGAUGCUCGUUGAAGCGGCGAUGGUGGUUGGGCACCGGUAGUUCACAACACCCAUAUAAACAUGAUAGUGACUGAGUGGUUCACUGCAGUUAGCCACCACGAAAGGGAUGGUGGCAUGACAACCCUAGACUUCUUGCAUCCGACUGGAUCGAUCUCUUUCAGACGUAGGAGGGGGUGGCUACGGCGAUUUCCGACUCUAAUGACAGAUAGGAGGUGGCGGGUGAAGGAUGGGCUAUAAGUGGCGGCUGUAGCACCCUCUUAAGGUUAGGGUUCUUAUUGCGGCAGUUGUAGCGCCUUCUCAUCCGAAAUUGAAUGUUGUUUUGAUGCAAACCAAGCGCUCGCUAAAAUGCUUCAAUUGAUGCACACCAAGCACUCUCUGAAAUUUGAACGACACCUCUUAGCAAUAUAAUUCUUUUAGAAUGUAUUAGUGUCUUUGUUAGAUUUUGAUGUUUUUUUUCCAUAUUUGAAAUUUUUUUAGUUUUAUUCUUUAACAAUAAAUGGAAUUCUUAGCAAUUGUUACAUGUAUUCUAUAAGCAUUAAUGUAAUUUUUGUUUUAAUUAUUCAACUGAUGGUUCGAGAAUUUUGUUAUUCUACAAGAAAUUUUUAAAGUCAUGAUCAAGUAAUAUGUUCAACAAAAUUUUUAUUAUUUUAUGGUUCAAAAAUAUUUUUAUUUUUGAACAUACUCAAACAUAGUUUGUCAGAAUGUCCAAAUUAAAAACCUUAUAAUUCGUAAAAUCGGAUUUUUUUAAAUUAAUAGAAUCUUUGAUCCCUUAAAAUAUGCAAAUUUCGUUUAUUAAAUCGAUGUUAAGUGACUAAAAUACCCAUCUAGUCAAAUUAGAUGGUAUUUUUCAAUUAUAUUUAAUUCAAGAAUAUGUAUUACUUUAAAAUAACACAAUAAUUACUUUAAAUAUAAUAACAUAUGUCGNNNNNNNNNNNNNNNNNNNNNNNNNNNNNNNNNNNNNNNNNNNNNUAUAUAUAUAUAUAUAUAAAAAUUUAUAGUACUUUACGCGUAGUUCCAGGGUUUAAACAAAGAAAAGAAAAUAAGACAAAAGAAAGUUAGGAGGGAAAGUGGUCAUUUCAUUUCCCUCCACUUCUUCCUAUUUCCCUACUUUAAUGAAACACCAAUUUCUUUUACUUUCUUCUCAUUUCCACUCAUUUCCUUUCUUUUCUCUUGUUAAGUUCAACUCGAGAACGGGGUGUUAGGAAUAGUUCUUUGUUUCUAUUGGUUAAUUUUUUUUCUUUCUUAGUUUUUUACUUGGUAUUUUCCUUGGUCUGUGGGACACCCACGCCACUGUUUAUAGGCAAACGUGUCAUCUUCCCUUAAACCAUUGCUGCCACCGCCUAUGAUUUUCUUCUAAACACGUUUAUGAACUAUUCUGGUUUCUCGGUCACCUACCCUCACACGAGUACGUUCGUUCUUCUUCAUAUCGUAUUGCCUUCCUUGUCUCCACCGCCUCUUCGAGGUUCCCUUACAUCCUCUGGAAGUAUCGUCAAAAGAUUAAACCCAAUCCAUCACUACCAAUCCUCCAAUAAGAUCCUCCACUCCUCGAUUUUCCGUUAUGGCUUUUUUUUCCUUCGAGAUUUUCAGAAUCCCUUCGUUGACUUCCAAUCCUCUUGCUAAGGAUGCAUUCCUCCUCCGUGAUUUUCCGUUUAUCUAUGCUCGAAGAUGAUUAGGAAAAAUUGCGAGAGAGUUGACGAAAAGUCAUGGAAAGGAGAGAGAGAGAGAGAGAGAGAGAGAGAGAGAGAGAGAGAGAGAGAGACAUCGAUGAUUUCUCUUACAGAUGAGAUACAAGGGAAGGAGGACCAUAAGGUGAUCUGGUUUUUGGUUAACUAUUAUCCAUGAAUUUUCCUAAUCAGGUAUGUUGUUCUCUGAAAAUUUUCCCUUUCUUGCAAUCAUUUCACCCCUACGUAAUUGCUAUCUAGGUCUGCAAGUGCAGAUGUAAUUAAGUUUGUGUCCACAUAUCUUAUACUGGUGUCGACUUCUUCGUCACUUCUAACUAAGGUAUUGGUUCUAGUUUUGGUUCUGUUUUUUUAUAUAAUAGAAGAACUUUGCCUCUUUUUUUUAUUUGCUCCAUUGUUUUGAUUUUGGGGUUCAUAGCAGGAAUAUGGAUAAUAAAUAUAUGGGUGUAGGUUUUUAUUGAUACGUCGAUUUUUUAUUUUGCGUUUAAGGAUUGAGAGAAAAGUGCUCCACUUGGAAAUUUGAAGAUUACUUCCAAGCAUAACCAAACACGAACUAAAAUUAAAAUGACUUUUCAUUAAAAGAAUUCUCAUAAACAUUAAUUUGUUACCUAAAUAUACCGAGAAGAAUUGUGAAUUAAUCCAAGUUUUCUAUGUUUGAAAAAUCUUUUCCACUUAUGUUGUAUAAUACUGUCAGACAAAUUCAGAGUUGGAGAUGCUAAAAGUAGUUGAUAGUUCUUACAUUUCCCAAACUAUUUUCUUGCCAUUAUAAACAUUUACACGUAGAAUCCUUUUUUGAAUNNNNNNNNNNNNNNNNNNNNNNNNNNNNNNNNNNNNNNNNNNNNNUAUAUAUAUAUAUAUAUAUAUAUAUAUAUAUCGGCACUUGAACAUACUUCAUGAUAAUGAGUGGGUUAUUUUCAUAUAUUGGAAAAAGUGGGAUUAUGCAUAGAUGGAAUCCUAUCUCUUAAAUGAUUGAAGCUUUAUGGACUAGGUUGAACAUGAAUACAAAUAACUGAGAGGCUCAUUCUUAGUUUAUAACAAUUACACACCAUUGGUAAACACUUCACAAAUAUUCUUAUUUUCUCCAGCUCCAUAUUGUUAUAAUAAUCCCUCGGUUAAAUUUAUAUUCACCAAAACCAAACAGAUAAUUCGGAUAUGCUACGGGGCAAACUUCAAAGAUUACCAGUCUCCCUAGCGGACUCAAUAAAAAAUCUUUCAAAAUCAUAACGAAUAAGAAAACAAUUUGUAUACAUAAUUUUUUUAUUUUUAGCUUUUUAGAUGCCUUUUAGUUAUAAACUUUGGUCAAUUUAUUUUUAGCUAAACUAGAGGAUAAAGGAACAGUUUUAGUUCAAUUCUUAAAGACAUUUCUUAGAAUGGUGAACACCCCUAGUUAGUAUACGAUUAACUAAGUUGCUAUUGUUUUAAAAACCACGUUGACCAGUACUAAAAUUUUGUCUGAAUUAAAGUUUGCUGAACAAUAACAGAAAAGGAAACGACUUAGGCUAGAGUGAUUCUAUUCAUGGCAUAUUAGCUAUUAUUUUUUAUUUUUUUAUUUUGAAAAGAUAUAUAAUGGUAUGGGCCAACAAGGAUCAACAUUGUGGAUAGUUUAAGAAUUGGUAUUCUUAAAGGACAUGCUUUAUUAUUUGGAAUGUUUUCUUUAUGAGGACCAAAUGCACAAUGUAUUAUCCUUUGAAAACCGAAAACAGUUAUGAUAAAUGAUAUCUUUAAUUUAACACAUUUCCAUUUCUACAUAUCUAUCAUUCAUUGUCGAAUAUAUAUAUCUUAGUUAGUCACACAAUGUUUCACACAUUCAUUACGGUCUACCCAGCAAGGCUGAGAUUUCAAUAUAGUACAACAGUAACAUUUUUCCCAUCCCGUAGGAAAAUUACAAUGAAAUUUAAAGCAAAAAUCAACGACGAUCUUUUCGCUUGUAAUAUUUGAUUUCGAUUCCACCUUUCUAUCAAGAAUGUUUGAUGUGCCUGAAUCACAACAAUAAAAUAAGAAAGUCAGUAUAAUGAAAUUCAUGUGUUUUUGUGUGCAUGUGAGAAAGAGAAAGAGAAACAGAGAAAGGAGCAUACAAUGACAAAGGGAGGCAAAAGAAGCCAUGAGAAUGAGGAAGAGAACUAGAAACCUACAACUAACGAAGGCCAUUUGAAAGGUAAUGAAAGGUUCCAGUGGAAUGAUUAAAUUGAGAAAUAAGAGGCUAUUUAUAAGUAGAUGCUAUGAAAUAUGAUAAUAGAAUUUUCAAUAGGCUUUUAUUUAAAAUUUAUUACUUGAAAAUUUUGGUUUGAUGCAUUAAAUUUGCAAUAGCAGUUAUUUAUUUUUGUAUAUACGCGAAAGGAAAAAAGUAAAUAUCAAAGUUUAUAUAAAAAUGAGUUAGUGUAAUAUAAUAUGAAAACAUAAAUAUAACAAACUUAUAAU
rnacentral:lncRNA from 1 species